CCUACGGGAGGCAGCAGUAGGGAAUAUUGCUCAAUGGGGGAAACCCUGAAGCAGCAACGCCGCGUGGAGGAUGAAGGUUUUCGGAUUGUAAACUCCUUUUGUUAGAGAAGAUAAUGACGGUAUCUAACGAAUAAGCACCGGCUAACUCCGUGCCAGCAGCCGCGGUAAUACGGAGGGUGCAAGCGUUACUCGGAAUCACUGGGCGUAAAGAGCGCGUAGGCGGGAUAGCAAGUCAGAGGUGAAAUCCUAUGGCUUAACCAUAGAACUGCAUUUGAAACUGUUAUUCUAGAGUAUGGGAGAGGUAGGCGGAAUGCGUGGUGUAGGGGUAAAAUGCGUAGAGAUCAAGAGGAAUACUCAUUGCGAAGGCGACCUGCUAGAACAUAACUGACGCUGAUGCGCGAAAGCGUGGGGAGCAAACAGGAUUAGAUACCCGAGUAGUC
rnacentral:rRNA from 1 species